ensembl:lncRNA
CAACAGUAUGACACUUAUUUAGCCAAGACCUUCUGCAUGGACCUUGAGAGAUUCCGGAAGGUGCUUCCUUACUUCUGAGCCACCUGCGUGGGAGGAAGCUGAGGACGUGAAGGUAC